UGGGGAAUAUUGCACAAUGGGCGAAAGCCUGAUGCAGCAACGCCGCGUGAGUGAAGAAGUAUUUCGGUAUGUAAAGCUCUAUCAGCAGGGAAGAAAAUGACGGUACCUGACUAAGAAGCCCCGGCUAACUACGUGCCAGCAGCCGCGGUAAUACGUAGGGGGCAAGCGUUAUCCGGAUUUACUGGGUGUAAAGGGAGCGUAGACGGCACAGCAAGUCUGAUGUGAAAGCCCGGGGCCCAACCCCGGAACUGCAUUGGAAACUGCUGGGCUUGAGUGCUGGAGAGGAAAGUGGAAUUCCUAGUGUAGCGGUGAAAUGCGUAGAUAUUGGGAGGAACACCAGUGGCGAAGGCGGCCUGCUGGACAUUAACUGACGCUGAGGAGCGAAAGCGUGGGGAGCAAACAGG
rnacentral:rRNA from 1 species